GGUCAAGAGGCGCCUGGGAAC
rnacentral:ncRNA from 2 species